AAAUUGAAGAGUUUGAUCAUGGCUCAGAUUGAACGCUGGCGGCAGGCCUAACACAUGCAAGUCGAACGGUAACAGGAAACAGCUUGCUGUUUCGCUGACGAGUGGCGGACGGGUGAGUAAUGUCUGGGAAACUGCCCG
rnacentral:rRNA from 1 species